rnacentral:lncRNA from 1 species
GUGUGUAAUAUAAUUUGUAAUGAAAGUUUUAUGUGUAUUGAGAGUUUAUAUGUUUGUUAGUUGUGAAGAUAUGAUUUGUCAGCACAUGACUAGUAUUGUAUAUUGUUAUACUAUUCUUCAGGUGUCAAGUUUAACUGAAGAAUCAGUUUAAUGACUUUAAUACCUUGCAUAUGAUAGCAUCUGGUUAUUAAUGUUGAUUAAGUGUAGUUUUACUGGUGUUACAUUCAACUUGAAACUUAUAUGUUCAUAUAAUGUGAAAUUUGAUAAAAUAAAUAUCAAGUUUUAGGCUGGCUUGAACUUAGAAAAUUUUUGAAAUCCAGAAUAAUUUUUUGUGAAAGAUGUUUUGGAGGCCAUACCCCCAAGUCUUUUUAUACGUUGGUUUAAUGUCCUUCUGUCCAUCCGUCACCAACAUGUCAGACAAUUAUUCAAAAACACUUGGACGAGUUCGCAUGAAACUUUGGUGAAUUGUUUAUAUCUAUUGACAUGAGCUACAUAUCGUUUUUUUCUCGCUUGAAGGAGUCAAAAAGCAAGACAUAGGUAUGCUGUUUCCAGCAGCGGCAGCAUCAACAAUGUAUUAGUUUAUGAUUAGGUCUAGUUUGUGAAAACCACAAGUUGUAGGUCAAUGAUAUUUUGUAUACAGUUGUAUUUGUAUUGGCACAUCUCAUUUCCAUGGAGAUUAUUUGGCCCUGCCCCCCUCAGUCAUGAUCUAUUCACUUAAAUAAAUAAAUAAACUUAUGCUUAUUUUACAUGUAUUAGUUUGUGAUAAGGUCAGUUCAAGAGGAAGCAUUAGUGGUAGGACAAUGUUAAUUGGUAUUCAUUUGUAUAAGUAUUAGCAAAUCUCAUUUCCAUGGAGAAUAUUUGGCCCCACCCCCUCAGUCACAGUCUAUUGACUUUGAAACUUUUGCUUAGUUUACAUAUUAGUUUGUGAUUAGAUCAGUUAAGGAUUUAAUGCUUAUGUUAAGUCCAAAAUAUUAGGUAUAAAGUUAUUGGCAUUUGCAAGUAUCAUUUUUUUGGGGUUGUUAAAUAUUAGUGAAAGGUGGCAUUUAAGGAACCCUGGGUGUUAUAGCCCCAUCCCCUCAUCGUGGUUCAUUGACUUUGAAACUUUUUCAUAGUUUACAAGUUAAUGUUUGUGUUUGUGUUUAUUUUAAGGCAAUGACUUAUAAUAAGUCAAUGGUAUUUGGUAUGCAGUUGUAUUAUUUCCAUGUGAACAGGAAACAAAAACUAGACUUGUUGCUUUAAAAUAGAAUUACGCAGGGACAGAUCAAGGAUUUAAGGUUAGGGUGGUGCAAACUAAAGUUUGUUUAUGUAAAAUUAUCUUUAUAUUCUUUAUAAGCUGAGGACAACCCAUGCUUUUUAAAUUUUAGGGAGGGAACAUACAUGCCACCCACUUCCUGAAUCGUCUCUGUAGGCAACAGGGAAAUUGAAUUUUAUCCUUGUACAUCUUUCCAUACAUCCUUAGUUGGGUUCUGUUCUCUUACUUCUGAUUGUCAAGCCAAAUGUGAUGAAAGUUAUACACAAUGUUUAUUACCUACUUCAGAACACAGAUCAAAUGCAAAUUUGGGUGUCAUCACUCUCGUUGUUCUAGAGUUAUGUCCCUUUUCAAAUGAUAAAAUUGCUGAAUUUGCCUUUUUUUCAUCCUCAACAAAUUGCUAUGAAACUUUACUCACGAUGCUUAUUACAAAAUGUAUCACCAAACACAGAUAAACUUCAAAUUUUAGUGGUGUCACGUAAACUUUUGUAGAGUUGUGUCCCUUUAUAUAUGAAAAAAAAAUGCUAAAUUUGCCUUUUCCACACUAUAACUUUACUUUGCCUCAACCAAAUGUUAUCAAACUAUAUACACAAUGCUUUAUGAUUGCUAUCCAAAUACAAAUCAAGUUUGAACUUGGGUGCUGUCCCUUUCACAUCUGGAGUUGUUAGAUAUAAGAAGAUAUGGUAUGAGUGUCAAUGAUAUGUCUGAAAUCGCUGAAUUUGCUAUAUAUAUUUACAGGUGAGGAUAUUUGUGUCCCAUGACCCAUGGACACAUUCUCCUUUAAUUUUUUACUCAAUUUUCUGCAUUUAUGUUGAAAAAUUAAUAGAAUUGUAGAAACUGUUUACAGCAAAAAUGAUGGGUAUAUAUGUAAGUUCUAUACUAAAGAAUGUCAACAUGACAUAAACUAUUGACUGAAACUUAAAAGCAAGGUGAGGUGUUCAGGCUCCCAGGAACCUCUUGUUAUAGAUUCCUCCAAUUUUAUACCCUCUACUGAACAAAAAAAAUACAAUGUGAGAGAGUUAGAAGAGAAUACAAGUUUUAAUGUCAAAUAUGUAUUGGCUUGCAAGAAAUGUUUUAAGUAUUUUUGUAAAGUUAUGACAAAAGAUGUUAAUUUUAUGAAAACAUGUAUUCAUAUGUACAUAUAUAAUAUGCAAAUCAUUAUAUGUCAUUAAAUUUUCAUCAAUAAAG